rnacentral:tRNA from 1 species
GGAUUGUAGAUCAGUGGUAGAGUGCUUGCCUUGCACAUCUGAGGCACUGGGUUCGAUCCUCAGCACCA